rnacentral:misc_RNA from 1 species
UGGUUCUGGCAUCGAUGAAGAACGCAGCGAAAUGCGAUAAGUAAUGUGAAUUGCAGAAUUCAGUGAAUCAUCGAAUUUUUGAACGCAUAUUGCACCUUAGAGUAUUCUUUAAGGUAUACCUGUUCGAGCGUCGUUUAGAACAAAUAAAGCUAUGCUUUUUGAUGAAUUUUGAGAGAGUAUAAAGCUUGUUGCCUAGUUUUCCGUAAGCUAGGUCGCUUCUUUUCUAUCAAUUUUCCAAACACAGUGGCGUUUAAGGUUUUUGAAGCCCGUCAAACUAUACAGUGAAAAUGUAUAUGCUUUGGUGUUAUUCAAGUAGCCCUAAAUUUUAGUAAUAAUCGCCUUAUAAAAAAAAAUCAAUUUGUUCGACCUCGAAUCAAGUAAGACUACCCGCUGA